UGAUCAAGGAUGACGUGCCCUUAGCCUCAUAGCUCCAGGCUAGCUCCCGUAAUUAGUACUGCUCGGUUCUUCCCGGUUUAGCAAUGGCGACCUUCUACACCCGCUGUCAAUAGGAGCUCCCAAAGAUAAACAUCACUCGCGUUCAUAGGAUUUUCACAACGACUAAACACUCAACCGGCAAAUUGGAGAAAGGCUAUUCAUUACAUGCCAUGUGUAUUUUUGCAACUACCAAGCAAUCCGCCAGGCCGUCUCCAGAUCUCUUGUGGCACGCUACCAGAAAUGUUUACACAAGAGGCAUGGAAUGUUG